rnacentral:rRNA from 1 species
UUAUAUGAGAGUUUGAUCCUGGCUCAGGAUGAACGCCGGCGGUGUGCCUAAUACAUGCAAGUCGAACGCGUUGGCCCAACUGAUUGAUUGUGCUUGCACAGGAUUGACGUUGGUUUCCCAACGAGUGGCGGACGGGUGAGUAACACGUAGGCAACCUGCCCCGAAGCGGGGGACAACAUUUGGAAACAAGUGCUAAUACCGCAUAACAACUUUGACCGCCUGGUCAAAGCUUAAAAGAUGGUUUCGGCUAUCACUUCGGGAUGGGCCUGCGGCGCAUUAGCUUGUUGGUGGGGUAACGGCCUACCAAGGCGAUGAUGCGUAGCCGAGUUGAGAGACUGAUCGGCCACAAUGGGACUGAGACACGGCCCAUACUCCUACGGGAGGCACCAGUAGGGAAUCUUCCACAAUGGGCGCAAGCCUGAUGGAGCAACACCGCGUGAGUGAAGAAGGGUUUCGGCUCGUAAAGCUCUGUUGUUGAAGAAGAAUGUGCAAGAGAGUAACUGUUCUUGUAUUGACGGUAUUCAACCAGAAAGUCACGGCUAACUACGUGCCAGCAGCCGCGGUAAUACGUAGGUGGCAAGCGUUAUCCGGAUUUAUUGGGCGUAAAGCGAGCGCAGGCGGUUUUCUAAGUCUGAUGUGAAAGCCUUCGGCUUAACCGAAGAAGUGCAUCGGAAACUGGAUGACUUGAGUGCAGAAGAGGGCAGUGGAACUCCAUGUGUAGCGGUGGAAUGCGUAGAUAUAUGGAAGAACACCAGUGGCGAAGGCGGCUGCCUGGUCUGCAACUGACGCUGAGGCUCGAAAGCAUGGGUAGCGAACAGGAUUAGAUACCCUG